rnacentral:rRNA from 1 species
UAGGGAAUCUUCCACAAUGGACGCAAGUCUGAUGGAGCAACGCCGCGUGAGUGAAGAAGGUUUUCGGAUCGUAAAGCUCUGUUGUUGGUGAAGAAGGAUAGAGGUAGUAACUGGCCUUUAUUUGACGGUAAUCAACCAGAAAGUCACGGCUAACUACGUGCCAGCAGCCGCGGUAAUACGUAGGUGGCAAGCGUUGUCCGGAUUUAUUGGGCGUAAAGCGAGCGCAGGCGGAAGAAUAAGUCUGAUGUGAAAGCCCUCGGCUUAACCGAGGAACUGCAUCGGAAACUGUUUUUCUUAAGUGCAGAAGAGGAGAGUGGAAUUCCAUGUGUAGCGGUGGAAUGCGUAGAUAUAUGGAAGAACACCAGUGGCGAAGGCGACUCUCUGGUCUGCAACUGACGCUGAGGCUCGAAAGCAUGGGUAGCGAACAGG